rnacentral:rRNA from 1 species
AACGAACGCUGGCGGCAUGCCUAACACAUGCAAGUCGAACGGGAUCCUAGCUUGCUAGGUGAGAGUGGCGGACGGGUGAGUAACACGUGGGAACCUGCCUUGUGGUUCGGAAUAACGUCUGGAAACGGACGCUAAUACCGGAUGAGCCCUAUGGGGGAAAGAUUUAUCGCCGAAGGAGCAGCCCGCGUCUGAUUAGGUAGUUGGUGGGGUAAAGGCCUACCAAGCCGACGAUCAGUAGCUGGUCUGAGAGGAUGAUCAGCCACACUGGGACUGAGACACGGCCCAGACUCCUACGGGAGGCAGCAGUGGGGAAUAUUGGACAAUGGGCGCAAGCCUGAUCCAGCCAUGCCGCGUGAGUGAUGAAGGCCUUCGGGUUGUAAAGCUCUUUCGCACACGACGAUGAUGACGGUAGUGUGAGAAGAAGCCCCGGCUAACUUCGUGCCAGCAGCCGCGGUAAAAC